rnacentral:rRNA from 1 species
UACCAGCACCCCGAGUGGUCGGGACGAUUAUUGGGCCUAAAGCAUCCGUAGCCGGUUUUACAAGUCCCCCGUUAAAUCCAGCUGCUUAACAGAUGGGCUGCGGAGGAUACUAUAAGACUAGGAGGCAGGAGAGGCAAGCGGUACUCAGUGGGUAGGGGUAAAAAUCCGUUGAUCCAUUGAAGACCACCAGUGGCGAAGGCGGCUUGCCAGAAUGCGCUCGACGGUGAGGGAUGAAAGCUGGGGGAGCAAACCGG